GGGGAUUUAGCUCAGUGGUAGAGCGCUUGCCUAGCAAGUGGAAGGCCCUGGGUUCGGUCCCCAGCUCCU
rnacentral:tRNA from 1 species